rnacentral:lncRNA from 1 species
GUAUUAUUAUUUCAAUUAAAUAAAUGAGGAAACUGAAACUCACAGAGGGUAAAAGGCUUGCCCAAGUUCUCAGAGCUCUAGAGGGGCAGAGUUAAAUUGUUUCUUGGUCUUCUGAUUCCAAGGCUAUGUUCUCUUGUAUGUUCUUGGUCUUCUGAUUCCAAGGCUAUGUAUACUAUAAUGCCUUUAUUGGUCUCAGUAUUUUCAUUCGUAAAAUAGUAGGUAACAUUUAUUGCUGUUGCUUAUUUUGAAAUUGAUUUUGUUGUUACUAUUUUUUGAGUUUGACUUGUGCCACUCUACUUUUUGUCUAUCAUUUAAUUAAAUCCGUACAGCAAAUGCAUGAAUUAUGUAUGAUCAUUUCCUUUUCACAGAGUAGACCUUCCUCCGUGGGAAUGGUUGAAGAAAUUUGCACUCCUUUUAGAUGAACAUUCUAAUCUUGCCUCUAAGACUCUUCCAAGGUGAAAAAAAAAAUUCAUUAUAUUCAGUUAAAACAUGGGCCCUUGAUAUGAACUCUGCUGCCUGCAUAGAACAUGUUGGCCGAAGCAGGGCAGGAGCAGGUGCAGGUGAGUGAAGGAAGACUGGGAACAAACACAGGACACCUCUCUCUGCAACUCCCGCAUUGUUCU